UACGUAGGGUGCAAGCGUUGUCCGGAAUUAUUGGGCGUAAAGAGCUCGUAGGCGGUCUGUCGCGUCGGCUGUGAAAACUCGGGGCUCAACUCCGAGCUUGCAGUUGAUACGGGCAGGCUAGAGUGCGGCAGGGGAGACUGGAAUUCCUGGUGUAGCGGUGAAAUGCGCAGAUAUCAGGAGGAACACCGGUGGCGAAGGCGGGUCUCUGGGCCGAUACUGACGCUGAGGAGCGAAAGCGUGGGGAGCAAACAGG
rnacentral:rRNA from 1 species